rnacentral:rRNA from 1 species
CCAAUAGCGUAUAUUAAAGUUGUUGCAGUUAAAAAGCUCGUAGUUGAAUUUCGGGAUUUAUCCGUCGGUCGGGCUUUUGGGUCUGUACUGGCGUGAUGAAUUCCUACCUUCUGAAUAACCGGCAUGUCAUUAAUUUGGUGCGCUGGGGAAGCAGGACUGUUACCUUGAAAAAAUUAGAGGGCUUAAAGCAGGCUAUUGACUGAAUACAUUAGCAUGGAAUAAGGAAAUAGGACGGCAUGGUUCUAUUUUGUUGGUUUCUAGGAUAACCGUAAUGAUUAAUAGGGAUAGUUGGGGGCAUUAGUAUUCAAUUGUCAGAGGUGAAAUUCUUGGAUUUAUUGAAGACUAACUUCUGCGAAAGCAUUUGCCAAGGAUGUUUUCAUUAAUCAAGAACGAAAGUUAGGGGAUCGAAGACGAUCAGAUACCGUCGUAGUCUUAACCAUAAACUAUGCCGACUAGGGAUCGGACGAUGUUAAUUUUUUAAUGACUCGUUCGGCGCCUUACG